CCAAUAGCGUAUAUUAAAGUUGUUGCAGUUAAAAAGCUCGUAGUUGAAUUUCGGGACCAAUAUGCCGGUCGUGCUUCGGUACGUACUUGCAUUAUUGGUUUCUCCCUUCUGACGAACCAUGAUGUCAUUAAUUUGGUGUCUUGGGGAAUCAGGACUGUUACUUUGAAAAAAUUAGAGUGUUUAAAGCAGGCUCACGCUUGAAUACAUUAGCAUGGAAUAAUGAAAUAGGACGUUUGAUUCUAUUUUGUUGGUUUCUAGGAUCGACGUAAUGAUUAAUAGGGUUAGUUGGGGGCAUUAGUAUUCAAUUGUCAGAGGUGAAAUUCUUGGAUUCAUUGAAGACUAACUACUGCGAAAGCAUUUGCCAAGGAUGUUUUCAUUAAUCAAGAACGAAAGUUAGGGGAUCGAAGACGAUCAGAUACCGUCGUAGUCUUAACCAUAAACUAUGCCGACUAGGGAUCGGAUGAUGUUAAUUUUUUAAUGACUCAUUCGGCGCCUUACG
rnacentral:rRNA from 1 species